GAUGAACGCUGACAGAAUGCUUAACACAUGCAAGUCUUUGGCGAAGCUGUGCUUGCACCGCCUAGCCAAGGCGGACGGGCGAGUAACGCGUAAGGAACUUGCCCUGCAGUCAGGGAUAACAGACGGAAACGACUGAUAAGACCUGGUAAAGUCAGGCGGACUCAUGUCCAGCCUGAUGAAAAGAGAUGCUGCAGGAGAGCCUUGCGUCCUAUUAGCUUGUUGGUGGGGUAACGGCCCACCAAGGCGAUGAUAGGUAGCCGGCCUGAGAGGGUGGACGGCCACAAGGGGACUGAGAUACGGCCCUUACUCCUACGGGAGGCAGCAGUGGGGAAUAUUGGACAAUGGGGGCAACCCUGAUCCAGCAAUUCUGUGUGCACGAUGAAGGUUUUCGGAUUGUAAAGUGCUUUCAGCAGGGAAGAAAAAAAUGACGGUACCUGCAGAAGAAGCGACGGCUAAAUACGUG
rnacentral:rRNA from 1 species